AGAACGAACGCUGGCGGCACGCCUAACACAUGCAAGUCGAGCGCCCAGCAAUGGGAGCGGCGGACGGGUGAGUAACACGUGGGAAUAUGCCUUUCGGUACGGAACAACUCAGGGAAACUUGAGCUAAUGCCGUAUACGCCCUUACGGGGAAAGAUUUAUCGCCGAAAGAUUAGCCCGCGUCUGAUUAGCUAGUUGGUGAGGUAAUGGCUCACCAAGGCUUCGAUCAGUAGCUGGUUUGAGAGAACGACCAGCCACACUGGGACUGAGACACGGCCCAGACUCCUACGGGAGGCAGCAGUGGGGAAUCUUGGACAAUGGGGGAAACCCUGAUCCAGCGAUGCCGCGUGAGUGAUGAAGGCCUUGGGUUGUAAAACUCUUUCGACGGGGACGAUAAUGACGGUACCCGUAGAAGAAGCUCCGGCUAACUUCGUGCCAGCAGCCGC
rnacentral:rRNA from 1 species